AUGACAUUGAGGUCAAUCCUGAAGAUGAAGUAGAAAUGAGGGAUGAUGAUUCCAGCGAAGAAACCAUUGCUGACCUACAUCAAUGCAAAGGCUCAACAACAGAGACUUCUAGGGACCAGACACUUCUGAGGCAAACACCAGAGUCAACCACCCUGGACAACAUGGAGGGCACUUCUGAGUCAACCACCCUGGACAACAUGGAGGGCACUUCUGAGUCAACC